rnacentral:lncRNA from 1 species
CAGGGCUGUCUUAGAGAAAUGACCAUGAGAAAACAGUGCAUCAGAAAGCUGUAGAUCAGCUGUCCUGGUAACUAGUUUCCUGAGGAGCUAUGGGAGGUUGAGUCCUACAAGCAAGAGGCAAGACACAAAUAUCAAGUCCUUUCCCCAUGAAGAUGCAUCUGUCCCAGAGUUAAAAAAGCACCUGGAUCCAGAGCYUUUGAAUAGCUGAAUUUGAAGAAUACAGUCUCCUUUUCUCUGGCUACCUUUGGUUUCCAGGGUCUCCACAGGCUGGUUUGAUGGAAAGAUCUGGCAUUAGAACCAACAAUUACUUUAAUGAAAAG